rnacentral:rRNA from 1 species
UACGAAGGGGGCUAGCGUUGUUCGGAAUUACUGGGCGUAAAGCGCACGUAGGCGGACAUUUAAGUCAGGGGUGAAAUCCCGGGGCUCAACCUCGGAACUGCCUUUGAUACUGGGUGUCUUGAGUGUGGAAGAGGUAAGUGGAAUUGCGAGUGUAGAGGUGAAAUUCGUAGAUAUUCGCAGGAACACCAGUGGCGAAGGCGGCUUACUGGUCCACAACUGACGCUGAGGUGCGAAAGCGUGGGGAGCAAACAGG